rnacentral:lncRNA from 1 species
CAGGCUGCCGUAUAGAGACGGUGGUUGGCUCCUUGUGCGUGUCGUCAGGUUGCACUAGUUAUCCUCGCUGCUUGCAGCAAGUUAUCGGCUGAUCUUCAGCUAGUUAUCCAUCCUACGUCGUGAAGAUCGGGACAACGACCUCAUCAUCUGGUAUCAAAGCUCAAGUUUCCACGGUAGGAUUUUUACCCUUAGCUACAUAUAUAUAUCUUGUUCGUCCUAUCCACCAAAAAGCCAUAAAAAAAUUGCAUUAGCCCUUUGUUUCAAUCUGUUUUUCUUGUGAGUUUGGUUAAGUUGUAGUCCAUUAGAGUUUUGUUUAGUUGCUGAUCAUCAUAUCCUUUGUGUGUCCUUUGUGCCUCUUUUAUAUAUACAAAUCCCUAAAGAAAAUCUGAAACCGGUAUCAUCCUUCGCGUAAACUUUGAGCCUAUCAAGUUAGAACGCUGACGGUUGUGUCUUGUUUCAAAAAAAAAGUGUGUGUAAGUGUUAUAUCUACUCUUGUUCUUAGUUAUAAAAAAACAAAGUAUCAAAAAAAAGGAAAGUGAAAAAAAAGAAGAGUUGAGAAAGAAAAGUUGUGAAGAAAGAGUAGAAAGUUCACUCUGUUUAUGUGCUCAAGUUCUGAAUUUUAUAUCAAGUCGCACAAUCAGUCAUUAUCCAUCUUUGGUGCAAAAUUUUGCUUGGGUUUGAUUGCAACACUUGCAUCCUAGGCAUACUCCUUGUUUGCAUCAAAUCUGAAUUAUCUUUGCGCGUGUUUGAUCUAUUUACAUCACUCAUAUCUUGUGGUCAGCACUAGGCAUUGAACUUCUAGUUUGGAUUGUGGUUUAACUUUACAAUAUCAAGAAUUCAGACUGCAUUCCUUGUGAAAUAUAUCCCCAUCAAGCUCCACAAAUAACCCACCGUCAUAGGAAAAUACUGAUCUUGGAUUCUCCCAACCAUCAUUCUCGGUUACCACCUCGCAUUGGCCGUUGUAAUCUGCAGGGAACUCACAUGAGCUUCGGUUGGUAAGAGAGGUGAGAUUGUGAGAUUCCACAUAUAAUUCCCUAUUCUACAUAUAUUGUUGCUUUGCCUUCACUAAUUUUUUACAGCAAGAUGACUGAGCAUCCGG